rnacentral:rRNA from 1 species
AUGGCUCCGCCGCCGCCGCCUAAGACCGCAGCCCCGCCCCCGGCAGUCCGGCACCUCUCCUCUCCCGGCGGCCCUCCUUCACCGCAGUCUCCUCUACUCGGCCAUGUCCGCCCAAGUCUCCUCCCCCUUGUUGCACCUAUCAGCGGCGACCGCGAUGCCCGUCGACCACCAACAGCCGCCCAAGUUAUCUAUGGGUUCUCUAAGGGACUGGCCUGGGUCCUCUGCUUUCGGCCGGUGUCGGUGCAAGCUGAAACUCAUUCGUGGCAGGGAGGAGCAGAUCAAGGCCUUCCAAUAGGCGCAGGAUCAAGUCAUGAAACUUGCAUCAUCUUUACAUCACCAUGUAGUUGGGUGUAA